rnacentral:rRNA from 1 species
UACAGAGGUCUCAAGCGUUGUUUCGGAUUCAUUGGGCGUAAAGGGUGCGUAGGUGGCGCGCUAAGUCAGGUGUGAAAUUUCGGAGCUUAACUCCGAAACUGCAUUUGAUACUGGCGUUGCUUGAGGACUGGAGAGGAGACUGGAAUUCAUGGUGUAGCAGUGAAAUGCGUAGAUAUCGUAAGGAAGACCAGUGGCGAAGGCGGGUCUCUGGACAGUUCCUGACGCUG